rnacentral:rRNA from 1 species
GGGCUCACACAAGCGGUGGAGGAUGUGGCUCAAUUCGAGGCUACGCGAAGAACCUUAUCCUGGUCUUGACAUGCUUGGGAAUCCCGCCGAAAGGUGGGAGUGCUUUUCGGAGAGCCCUUGCACAGGUGCUGCAUGGCUGUCGUCAGCUCGUGUCGUGAGAUGUCGGGUUAAGUCCCUUAACGAGCGAAACCCUUGUCCCUAGUUGCCAGCGAGUCAUGUCGGGGACUCUAGGGAGACUGCCGGUGUUAAACCGGAGGAAGGCGGGGAUGACGUCAAGUCCUCAUGGCCUUUAUGAUCAGGGCUGCACACGUCCUACAAUGCGAUGUACAAAGGGACGCAAGCUCGUGAGAGCAAGCAAAUCCCAAAAAACAUCGCUCAGUUCGGAUUGCAGGCUGCAACUCGCCUGCAUGAAGCUGGAAUCGCUAGUAAUCGCGGGUCAGCAUACCGCGGUGAAUGUGUUCCUGAGCCUU